rnacentral:misc_RNA from 1 species
CCGAGUUUACAACUCCCAAACCCCUGUGAACAUACCUAUACGUUGCCUCGGCGGAUCAGCCCGCGCCCUGUAAAACGGGACGGCCCGCCCGAGGACCCUAAACUCUGUUUUUAGUGGAACUUCUGAGUAAAACAAACAAAUAAAUACA